UACGGAGGAUCCGAGCGUUAUCCGGAUUUAUUGGGUUUAAAGGGAGCGUAGGUGGAUUGUUAAGUCAGUUGUGAAAGUUUGCGGCUCAACCGUAAAAUUGCAGUUGAAACUGGCAGUCUUGAGUACAGUAGAGGUGGGCGGAAUUCGUGGUGUAGCGGUGAAAUGCUUAGACAUCACGAAGAACUCCGAUUGCGAAGGCAGCUCACUGGACUGCAACUGACACUGAGGCUCGAAAGUGUGGGUAUCAAACAGG
rnacentral:rRNA from 1 species